GAGCUGGUAGUUCAGUGGUAGAAUUCUUGCUUCCCAUGCAGGAGACCCAGGCUCGAUUCCCAGCCAACGCA
rnacentral:tRNA from 1 species